ensembl:lncRNA
CUCACGUCUAAAUAUCAUGAAAGAGAUAUUAAUUAAACAGAAACCUUAUAAGGUCGAGCUUUAAUCAUGUACAAGUCAAAGUCUCAACACACCACCGACCCUUUGACGACCCUUGAUUCAGAGCGGCCGGUUGUGCUGUUUGUCCCUUUGUCCGCACCGUAGAAACAGGAAGUAAUAGACAGGCUCCAGCAAAAUAAAAACACAUUGGAACGAAAUUAUCUCCAAUUCAUAUUUGCCUCGAAAUGGACAGUGAAAAUCUAAAGUCAAUGAGCAACAAUUCAAGCUGCGUACUUUUUAACACUGAUCCAGACGACUAUCGAUGCGUGGUGAUUUUAACUGUAAAACGAGCCACAGGAACCUUCUCCUUAGUAGGAUGCCUUUUCAUGCUGUUUGUGAUCUGGCUGCUUCGCAGGUAUCACUCUUUGGCUCAGAAGAUGAUUCUCAGCCUGACUGUAGCUGCCUUCUUUGACAGUGUAGCAUAUGUCAUGGGUGAGUCACAUCCAGAGGGAUCGCUUUGCAACUUUCAGGCCUGGUGGCUAACGUACUUUGACUGGAGUGCCUUGGCCUGGGUUUGCCUCAUCACACUGAACCUGUACCUCAACCUGGUCAGAGAAGUCAGCACCAGCCGAUAUGAGAUGUUGUACCAUCUGAUGGCGUGGGGGGUGCCUCUGGUCAUGGCCUCCUUGCCGCUGCUAAAGGGCUACUACGGUCCCGCGGGGGGCUGGUGCUGGAUCACAGACGAUCACGUAGCCUGGAGAUUUGGGAUAUGGUACGUGCCUCUGUUCAGCCUCAUCUUCCUGAUGAUCUGCUGCUACGCCAGGAUCAUCUGUGUGGCCAAUGAGAGGAUGCAGUCGUGGUUGGGAACCUUCAACCCAGAGAGAGAGAGGCGAAAGGUUUCCUUGGCGGAGGAGAUCAAGCCGCUGAAGUGGUACCCCUCCGUUUACCUGCUGGUGUCUAUCUUUCCCCUCAUCAACAGGCUCCAUAAUGCAUUCUACCCAAAGGAUCCAUCCUUCUCGCUCACCCUGUUGCAUGUCCUGUCGGCGCCGCUCCACGGUUUGGCCAAUGCCUUCGUCUUUGGCCUGGAUAGGGACUGGUGGAGCCUCGUGAGCCCAACUGGAAUGCAGCUGGCUCUGCAGUCGCGGCUGUGUGACAGGACUCGGAUCGGAGAGUACCACCCCGGGGCGGUGCGCUACACCCAGGCUGACCUGGUCGACCUCAGCGAUGACGACGACGAUGACACCAACGUACUCUUCUACUCCCCUGACAUGACCCUGAAAGACAGAGGGCCCUGAGAGAGCGCUGGAGAGAAGGAGAGACAGGGAAAGAGAGGGAGCGACAAACGAGCUGAAGGAAAGGAAAACAAAGGAGGGUCAGAGCCAGGGAGAAACGCAGCGGAUUAGAAACUGAGGAGUAACAGGAGGUAGGGAGGGAAUGGAAGGGAAGAUUGGGGGGACAGUCAGGCAGAUAGAAGCCGGAGAUGAGCUGUCAGGUUCCAUUAUUAAUCCCCAUCCUUUACUAUUUAAUAUCCUAAAGACACACACACACACACACACACACACACGCACACAGUGAGAAGAGCUGCAGCUCCCUGCAAUGCCGCCAUCAGAGAGGAGCAAGAAAAGAGCAGAUCUGAAGACCCUCCUAAUGUUAAAGGCAUCUGCUGCAUCCCGAAGGUCUUAAAAUUAUUUCCCUCUCUGCACUGUCUUGUUGUUUCCUGCGUUCUGCAGCGUUUUUUGGCAAACCGCAAAAAUGAAAGGAGCAAGAAAGAACAACAUAAAGCACGGUUGAAAGACAAUCAUAACAAGGUGUUAGUUUAGCAUUCGCAGCAAUUACCUUUUUCACUUCUCUGCAGGGGACGAGGUGAAGAGCAGGCUUUUUAAAACGCACCCGGUGUGUUAGAUGUGAAAGCUUUUACAUCCAUGCUGAGAUUGAUCUGGGUACUGAACGGUGAGUUUCUGAUGGGGGAUGUGGGAUAGGGCGGAAAUACAGGAGGGGGUUUUAGAAACAGCGAAGAUGACUAGGCAGGGCAAGUGGAGUUCCAGCUCAUGAGUGUCUCUUGCAGUGAAUCUCCUCCCUCAGACAGUAUUUGUUUUUCUCUUUGCAUAUGGUAUUACUGUUGUUGCGACUUUCGCAACGCAUUCCUUUGAGAAAACUGUUUUUGUAUUUUUUUUUUUAUAAAACACUAUGCGUGUAUGUUUUUGUAUUUAUAACAGAUCAAUGUACUGUAUAUUUUUAGGAGUACACUAUAUUUUUGUACGUGCCUUGAACUGGGAUAUGAAGAAAAUGCUCCUCUCUGUCCAAACCUGCUGGUCUCACAUGACGGUCGAGUGUAUAGAGCCUUAUGAAUAACUAAACGACAAUGUAUUAGUCAAACAUACUCCCGCACACUCACUCACACACACACACACACACACACACACACUCUUUUCUAAGGUUCCUGUCAAAACAGGUUGGAAAAGAUGGCACACACUCGACACCCACGGCAUAGCAACAGCCUUUGGUGGUUCAUCAUUUCAUGGCCAUUGCCGUUGGUGCUGAGGGGACAUAGCUGAGGUGUGAUUGGCAGGAUAAUAGAGUCACUUCAUAUUCAACCUCAGCCCCUUCGGUUUUUCCCAUAUCUGGGUGGUUUCAUCACUGUUGGUGCCGCGCUGCCAGCUGUCAGCCGCCUCUCUGACAAGUUGAACUAAUGAACCCACACUUGACCCUUUUUACCCUUGAGUUGUUGAACUUUUCUGCUGGGCGUCAGUGACACCAGAGUGCAACUUUUCAGUUCACAGAGCCCCACCACUGUAUUACACACACACACACACACACACACACACUUGCACUGUGCCCAUGCCCCUCUUUUGGCACUGUUGCUGGUUUUACUUGACUGUGCACUCCAUCAAAUAAAUGAGCAGGAGAGACAUUUCAUAACAAAGCUGAGACUGGGCGUGUUUAUUUCAUUUUCGCAUUGAUGCGAUCCCUUACGCAGCUGAAGUGUGUCCGUUUAUAUGUGUGUGUGCGUGUGCGCGUUAAGACGUCUCUUAGACCUGGGCUGCUUAAAUAAUGGAUAUUAAUUAUUGGUCGGACUCUGCUGGCCCCUGCCAUGUCUCCAAAUCUGGUUAACUGGAUUUUGAUUAAUGGAACAUGCGCGCCAUGUCCUCCAGAAAAAGGCAGACCUCCGCACACCUCCACGGCUCUCCCGCAGACAAGCCCCUCACCGCACCCCCUGCACACAAAGAGCCCUGGAAAUAAGCGAAUCUCCCUGUCACGCAAGACGAAUUAUUAUUCCCCCCUCAUAUCGUCGCAUGCGCCGUAAUUGGAUACAAUUUAACACCCGCGGCCCACGGGCAUGUCGGCAGGCGCACUGCCUACUAUUAGCUCGCCUCGCCUCGCCUCGCCACCCUAUCAUUUGUCAGAUCUGUGUUUGUGUGCUCCUGGUGGCUGCGAGUGUGUGUGUGUGUGUGUGAGUGUGUGUGUGUGUGUGUGUGCGCGCGCGCGCGCCUGUUCCCGCGCGUGCGAGUGGCUCGAGAAACCGGAGCCAUUGUUGGAGUUCGGCCAUGACCUAGCUGUGACGCACAGAAACAGAGAGAGGGGGAGGAAGAGAGAGGCGACAGCGGCAGCACAGACGCUGGAGGGAAAAAAAAAAAAAAAAAAGAAAGAGAAAAAAACAAGCGAGAGCUGUGACACCUCGGAGCGAGAGCGAGAGCGAGCAGCGGGCCUGAAGGCUGUUUGUCGCUCCUCUGCGCAGCAGCUUCCACCGGGAGCGGCGGCUGCUGUUUAUUAGAGCCCCGGCAGUGUUUACUGUACGGAUGCGGAUGUGGUGGCGGGUAGAGCCCCUCCUAAACUCCGCUCACUUACAAUAAAUAUGAGGCUGCUGGAGAAGGUUAGUGGGGGAGAUUACAGCCUGCGUGAGUGACGUCUUCAAAGUAUAAAUAAUUGACCCCCAAAUUGUUGUGUAGGCCUUUACGUCUAAUGUUUUAAUGAGCUACUUUUGCUCCGGGCCGUUGGCGUUGAAGCAGAGCUUUACAGGGCUGCCAUAUAUGAUUUUAUGAAUGUGCAGAACUUCCCCUCUUUUUGCUCCCCAUACAGACAAAGAAAAGACGACCAUUUUAGCACAUGCAAAAAACUUCAGCUUAACAUCAAUAAAUCCCAUGAGAGACCAAAACUAAAACUGUGUUAUUCCACCUCUCAGGAGCUUCAAACUUCCCUUCACCCUGUCUGUGGCACUCAGCCCAAUGAGCCCAUUUGUUCCGACUGAACACAUUUAUAUCUAAGAACAGGUCCCAAAUAUAUGCCUGGUUUUAUUUUUAUAAGAGGCUCAAUGAUUUGUUUUUAGCAGGGAUGUAUGAUAUGGAUUUGUAUCCAGCGGGUAACAAAAAAUUCCCUGUUUCUCAUGGUCUGAACUGAUAAUAUAACCAAUAUUUCACAUUUCUGUACCGCCUGUACACCGCCCAGACCGCUGACAACACGCUUGGCUCUUUAGGUCGGUAAAAAGCAAUCUGUCUUCAUAUUUCCAGCUCCAUUUAUCGGCCUGCAGUUUCAACUAUACCCAUAGCUGACAAUAUUUAAAUAUUAGGGUUUUUCUUUUUUUUUUUUACAAAACUUAACAGGAGUAUAUUUUGGAUUUGUUGGUUGAUUAUCUUCAGUUGUGGAUUAAUAAACAUUUGGGGCCCUACUGAGUAUUGAUGUCAGCAGGACGCUGUGUGUUUGGGGCUGACUCAAGUUAACUACAGUGGUCAUGUUCGCUGUAAUGAAGAAAAAUG